GUCAAGUUGAAUGAGCGCAUAUCUCUUAAGUUAUUGCCAGCUCUACUAAGUUAUUACUGUUUUAAGGGGCUAUGUAUCUCUGUACUCCUAACUUAUGGAUGCUCAACAGCUCAAGGCAGCAGUGGUAUAUGUGCAUGCCAGCUUGUUAUGUACUGUAUUUGACUAUAUGUGGUUGCUUAUGUAUGUCUGUAGUACCUUCUCAUGUAAUAUACACUAGGCAGCAGUUAUAUGUGCUUUGCCGGCUUGUUAUGGAUUUGGCACCAGUUAUAUGUGCUUUGCCGGCUUGUUAUGGAUUUCUGCGUAUGGUUUGUUUGGUUUGUUGCCUUUAUUCCUUGAACAAAAGGUUCAGAGUAGGGAUCCGUAGCACUAGAUCUGCAUCAAUCUCUUCAAGAUGCAGAUCUGUUGUUUCACAUGAUGUUGCAACAUUAAUUUGUCUUGAACAUAACCUUCGAAUAACGUAACCUUGGAGAUUUUUUGAAACUUUAGUCCCAAGCCUGCAAAUAGCUAGCUGGCUAGGCUAAUCAUCGCCCCGAGGAAAUCAAAAGCUUCUACGAGAAUGGCCACUCUGAAUGUUCUGAACCAUCCCUGUUAUGAAAUAGUUGGCAAAAUCAUUAGGCGGUGAGAUUGCUGACUUACUCUCAUAAGAUUGUUCUUAUGUCCAGUUUUGUUAAAUGUUAGUUGUGCAACAUUGAAUGCAGUAUGCUGCUUGUCAAAUACUAGUCGUUGUGGACAAUGCCAAUUGAAUUGGCAUGCACUAAUCAUUUCUGCACCAGAAAGCGCAUUUGUCAUUGUUCUAAUAUGGAUAUUGAUCGGUGCUUUCAUGCCUUCACUUAUGGGACGGUGUAUGAGUAAAGCUUGAUGUGAUGAGUGCUAUGAUGUGAGCAAAAUAGCCUUAUCACAUCCUAGCUUGAUGUGAUGAGUGCAUGAAACAAGGUGUUACUCAAGCCUCCGGGAAUGUGCUAUAAAAACAAAGGCAGGGCUAUUUGUGUUUUAUGAAUGAUGAUGCAACUUUUGAAUUAAGAUAUGACGGGUUUGCAUGAUUUAGUAUGUUCACAUCUGUGAGAGCAUUUAAUUUUUUUUCAAGGUUAUAAAGUAGCAUGGCAUUGGCCAUUUGAGAAGCAGAGCAAUAAAAGCCAAGUUUGUCCAUAUGUACCCGCUCUUUUUCAUGCCAAUAUGAUUUGCCCAAUAUUAAUCAGUUGAUAAACCUGAUAAAUUUAUGGCAUCGUUCUUACAGAUAAAAUGGACAUUCAAAAGCCUGAGGAAAUGCAGCCUGAAGCAACUAGGGCUUACACUCCCCAAGAGCGAACGUCUGGGGCGAUCGCUGACUUUCAAAAUGAGAAUACCAUUUUGUAGGGCUGAUUUUAACUCAGAUAAAAGGGAGGUUCCACAUGUUCCAGUCCCCAUCCUCACAUCAUUGCUUCCCCUUGACCAUGAUAGGGAAAUGGUUGUUUACAUAAGAACUACUUUUCAGUUUCCAUACUUUGUUCUAUUGGUCCCUGUUUUUUAUUUUCAGUUGUGCAGAUUUUAAUUAGGGACCUAAGGAUUCAGAUUUGUUCCAAGCUUUCUUGCUUGCAAUAAAACUCUUGCCAGGACCACUGGCCAUAGGAAUCAAAGUGAGACUACCAGUUUUCUGUUGAACAAUUACUACUCUGAUUUUAUUGUGUCAUAUACCUAAAUUUAUCCUUAAAUGAAAACUUGACAUGCAAACUGCAUGUCCUUAUGUAUUGUUUCAGUAACAUGAUUAUUACAUAGUAAUCCAGUUAAUUAUGCAAGAGCCAAUAGGGGGCAUGACAUUGUACCUUUGUACUACUAUUUCAGAUACAUGAUUUUAUAUAGCUAAAAAAAUGUUACCUGAAUCUAUAAUUGUUGUUGGAGAAUGUAGCUUGCAGUGAGUUUCUACAAACCAUCUCAACAAUCUUUUGUUUACUGUACAGAUCAUAUCUCAGGAGAUCCUGGUUGCGGCGAGAGCGGAAUUGACCAGCUGACAUUGGAAGAUGCUCAUGUUGGAGCAUUAUUAACUCUAGGGUAGCCAUUUGUUCAACCAUCAGAGCAGUGGCACCGAAGCCAUCCAACCAUGCGUCACCAGGAGGUAAGUGUGAAGUGGCGGAAGAAAGUGCAAAGCCAUCCAGUAUUGCUGCAUGGUGGGACCUUGGAGGCAGAAAUGAAAUAAAUGGCUACGAUGAGAAUCAGCCAGAGAAAGUGCAUCGAUAACAAAAGGGGUAAGCUGGUGCGCGCAGAAUAUUAGCCAAAAGUGGCGCACAACUUCAUGCGCCACUCCAUAUAUAUAUUGCUAGAUAGAUACUAAUUCUCUUUGAUCUUUGUGUAGGUUUAGAUUUUUGCAUUUCUGACAAGAGGCACUUCUGCAGCAGAGCUUUAGUUGAAUUUUUGGAAGCAGAUGAAGCAAACAAUGUUACCAAUAAUAAUCUUAGUUUUGCAGGAGGUCGCUAUCCAAGCUGACGCCUCUCUCCUCGUCUUCGACGGCCAUAUCGUCCCUCUGUACCGAUGGCAGCGAUUUGUUCUCCUGCAGGCUUAUUAGAGGCAGGAGCACAACAGUGGAGUGCAGGGACAUCAACGUCGGCGGCACCAACAGCAAUGACACGAGGUAGGCGACUUGUAGUGCAUUGUCCAUGUUGUUUUGGCAGAGGUCACAAAGUAUAUGCACUUGGUUAACUCUACUGACGUUCUGCAGUUGAUUUGCUUGCAUAAGUAUGCCAUGAACUAUAUGUAUCACUACAUAAAGUUUUCUCUUAUGAGCAAUUGUUCACUUUGUUUUAUUAACCUUCAUUAUAUUUUUUAGUAAUCUCUGAGUGCAAGUUUUGUGGACAUGUGAUGAUUAUUUAUUAUUUGUGAACCAGAGAUGGUGAUAAUAGGAUCCAAGAAUUCAGCACUACACGGUGAUAAUAUAUACGUAAUAUUUUCUUGAUCAGUCUUAUGCAUCACAGUCAUGAGCUUUUGUGUUCUUUUCGUUCUGCAGUUUAGAAAUGAUGGGCAUGGUUCUUCCAUCAACAAAACUCAGGCAUAGUCUCUUUCCUUGUUUUUUUUUUUUUUUGAAACGGAGGCAAAAGCUCUGUUUCAAAAAAAAGUCUUAUUUCAGAUUAGAACUGAAUAUUUCCAAUACAUCCAGGACUUUAAUAUGUUCGUUUGAAAAUGUUGAUACCGUGCAACUAUGUGUUCUCUUCUCAUGUAUGCACCUCAUUGUUCAUUUUUUCUCAAACACACAUUUUUGUACUAAGGAGAAGGGUGUUAAUAUGACGCAGACCGAGUCAUUGUUCAUGCUAUUUUGUUUUAAAAAGCACUACAAUUUGUGUUGAUGGCAUUCUUAUUCUGUUGUAUUUUUGUACUUUGAAUAGCAUAGAGGAUCUCACAAUCACGUGAAUGGUCAACCAUAUUUCCUUGGGCAUGGAGACCAAACUUUUUGACAAAAUGCGCUCCAUUAAUAUCUGACUAGGCAUGAAAACCAAGCUUACCAUGAUAUUGGUAAAUGGUAAUCCACACUAGGAGACAUGAUUAGAUGCAUCCAUAACUACAUUUUGUAAUAUUACAGGAAAAUGGUGUCAGAACAGUUACCAUCUCCUUUUGCAAUGUUGGCUUAUUGUUAUGAAAUUUAACAGUGAAGCGGUUCAGCCGGACAGUUUACGAUUGCAUUUGCAGAUUGUAUGUCAGUGUAACAUAUAUGAAGGACGACAGAAGAAGACUGUUUUCAAAUACAUGCCGGAGA
rnacentral:lncRNA from 1 species